rnacentral:rRNA from 1 species
GAAAUGCGUAGAUAUUAGGAGGAACACCAGUUGCGAAGGCGGCUCUCUGGACUGUAACUGACGCUGAGGCACGAAAGCGUGGGGAGCAAACAGGAUUAGAUCCCCUGGUAGUCCACGCUGUAAACGAUGAGUACUAGGUGUCGGGGGUUACCCCCUUCGGUGCCGCAGCUAACGCAUUAAGUACUCCGCCUGGGAAGUACG